GGUGACAGGAUUGUUAAAGAAAUUGAAGCUCUCAGGAGAAAGGGAGCUGAACUGAUGCAGGAGAACUUGAACUUGAAAAAGCGAACAGAGAAUAAUCAUUUACGAGGCAAUACCUGCAAUGAGAGUUCUGAUACUUCCUUAAAGUUGGGGUU